rnacentral:rRNA from 1 species
GGCUUAACACAUGCAAGUCGUGCGAGAAAGUAUCUUCGGAUAUGAGUAGAGCGGCGGACGGGUGAGUAACGCGUAGGAAUCUACCUAGUAGAAGGGGAUAGCCCGAGGAAACUCGGAUUAAUACCGUAUACCUCCUUCGGGAGAAAGAAGGCCUCUCUUUGAAGCUUUCGCUACUAGAUGAGCCUGCGUAAGAUUAGCUUGUUGGUGAGGUAAAGGCUCACCAAGGCUACGAUCUUUAGCGGGUCUGAGAGGACGAUCCGCCACAUUGGGACUGAGACACGGCCCAGACUCCUACGGGAGGCAGCAGUGGGGAAUAUUGGACAAUGGGCGAAAGCCUGAUCCAGCCAUACCGCGUGUGUGAAGAAGGCCCUAGGGUUGUAAAGCACUUUAAGUUGGGAAGAAAAGUUAUUGGUUAAUACCCAAUGACCGUGACAUUACCAUCAGAAUAAGGACCGGCUAAUUCCGUGCCAGCAGCCGCGGUAAUACGGAAGGUCCAAGCGUUAAUCGGAAUUACUGGGCGUAAAGCGCGCGUAGGUGGUUUAUUAAGUUGGGUGUGAAAUCCCCGGGCUCAACCUGGGAACUGCAUCCAAAACUGAUUCACUAGAGUACGAUAGAGGGAGGUAGAAUUCACAGUGUAGCGGUGGAAUGCGUAGAUAUUGUGAAGAAUACCAAUGGCGAAGGCAGCCUCCUGGAUCUGUACUGACACUGAGGUGCCGAAAGCGUGGGUAGCGAACAGGAUUAGAAUACCCUGG